rnacentral:lncRNA from 1 species
GGCGCCCCAUGUGCUUACCAAAAAGGGCUGAUAUCCUACCAAUUAAGUCUAAUUUUAAUAAAAAAAAAUUAGAUUAAAAAGGUAGAAAUUUUUAUGAGAUAAGGAUGUAUCUUUUUAAGCUAAUUGGAUUCCUGAUUUGGAUCAAGGAAGGGCCUAUAUAACGAGAAGGUCUCCUAUUUUAUUGAUUAAAAACCAGAUC